rnacentral:rRNA from 1 species
UACGUAGGGAGCAAGCGUUAUCCGGAAUUACUGGGUGUAAAGGGAGCGUAGACGGUAAUGCAAGUCUGGAGUGAAAGGCGGGGGCCCAACCCCCGGACUGCUCUGGAAACUAUGUUACUAGAGUGCAGGAGAGGUAAGCGGAAUUCCUAGUGUAGCGGUGAAAUGCGUAGAUAUUAGGAGGAACACCAGUGGCGAAGGCGGCUUACUGGACUGUAACUGACGUUGAGGCUCGAAAGCGUGGGGAGCAAACAGG